rnacentral:tRNA from 1 species
GUCCCAGUAGCUUAUAACAAAGCAUGGCACUGAAGAUGCCAAGAUGGCCUUCUACACACAGCCCAUGGACA